AAGUUUCGAAAAUAGACUUACAUGCGCGUGAAAGGAGAAUUGUAUUUUUUUUUUAUCUUUACCCUAAAAACUGAAAAGUCAGUACCACUUUUUUUUUGUUUCCAUUCGUUGACGAACGCCAUUUGGAGAGAUCAUUGGAAGAAACCGAUUAGCUGAAAUCGAUUGUGAGGCGGAGUUGGCGAAGGAAGAAAUCUUAAAGCUUCAUCUUUGGGUUCGUGUUACUGGCAGAAAUUGAUAAUCGACGUUAGGUUUACGGAGAACUGUUCAAAUUCGCGGCAAAAUUUGCAAGGCGGAGUGAUCUCCUACCAAACCCAAAUCCAGAUUUACAGGUAUAUCGACGGUCGACCAAUAAAGAAAAUUUGCAAGACUAUUUUAAGUUUACAAGCUCAGUUAGGAUUUUAGUAUUUGCCUCCUUCAUCAUGGCCCUCUCCAUGGUUGUUUCUGUGUUGUUUUCGUUAGUUUCCCCCCCCACAUGAUUUUCUGGGUUCGUGUUUGUGGAAGCAAGUUAUGUAUGUUGUAAUAUGACUAUACUAUCUGAGCGACUUUGAUAGCGACUUUGAUAAUAUAGUCACCAUGUUUAGUAGAAAUAGCUCACAUAGCAAGAAUUGAUCAAAUUAUGCUAUUUUGUUAAAGUAAAAUAGUAUACAAGUAGUUGUACCUAUAUAUAUUUGAUCUUUGUCGAAUCUACCCAACAUAGGAGCUUUGAGUGAGUUUCGUUUGCUUGCUCAUGUUAUACUAUAUGGUUUUGUUUGUAGUAUAGUUCCAUGCUAUGAUUGUGGAAGCAUGCAUGGAGCUAUGCAGUUGAACAAAGUUCACUAUGUUAUGAUUGGACUCCAUCACCGCUGCAACUACUAGGAGCCACGAUGAAGGCAACUGGCAUUGUAGAUUUUUCCUUUCCUUCCAUAUGAUAAGGUGCCGUUCUAUACUAUUAUUUAUAUGGUGUAGUCCUUUUUUUUUGCAGCUUUGCUCUACUGCCUUCAUUGUAUCACACGUUCAUGUACAUGGCCGCAUUAUGAUGUAUAUGUACUUUUCGUGUUACAACUUCGUGCUAUGUAUAUUCAUGAAGAGAACUAAAGCUUAAGUUACAUAGUACCCAUUUGCGAAAGACCAUCGUUGUUGCCGCACCAUCAACCCCCCUGCUCCUUUACGAUUCUAUUUUUGUGCAAACCCCAUACCAAUACCGACGAUGUUAUGCUGUUGCUGGUGUUGUCACUUGACCUCGUUAUGAAAGACUGCCUUACAUUACUCUUCAUAAUGUGUAAAACAUGCGUCUUCCUAUAAUUGCAUCCAACUGUGCUUUGUAACUUCAGAGAUUGCUUGUAUGGUUAAUCGCACUUACAACAAAAGAUUAUACCAUUAUAAAAAUAGUAUAGUGGGGCAAUGAUAGUUUCCAAAACAGGAUAUGCUCAGCUUAAAUCAAAAUAAAAAAAAUAUUUUGUGUUAUAGUAGAGAUUUGACAA